ACGGAGGAUCCGGGCGUUAUCCGGAAUUACUGGGUUUAAAGGGUGCGUAGGCGGGGCUUUAAGCCGGCGGUGAAAUGCAGCGGCUCAACCGCUGGAAUGCCGUUGGGACUGGGGCUCUUGGAUACGGUCGGGGCGGGUGGAACUCGUGGUGUAGCGGUGAAAUGCAUAGAUAUCACGAGGAACGCCGGUAGCUAAGGCAGCUCGCCGGUCCGGUAUUGACGCUCCUCCUCUUGUGCUUUUUUUUCUUUCAG
rnacentral:rRNA from 1 species